rnacentral:rRNA from 1 species
AGUGAACGCUGGCGGUAGGCCUAACACAUGCAAGUCGAACGGCAGCACAGUAAGAGCUUGCUCUUACGGGUGGCGAGUGGCGGACGGGUGAGGAAUACAUCGGAAUCUACUUUUUCGUGGGGGAUAACGUAGGGAAACUUACGCUAAUACCUCAUACGACCUACGGGUGAAAGCAGUGGAUCUUCGGACCUUGCGCGAUUGAAUGAGCCGAUGUCGGAUUAGCUAGUUGGCGGGGUAAAGGCCCACCAAGGCGACGAUCCGUAGCUGGUCUGAGAGGAUGAUCAGCCACACUGGAACUGAGACACGGUCCAGACUCCUACGGGAGGCAGCAGUGGGGAAUAUUGGACAAUGGGCGAAAGCCUGAUCCAGCCAUACCGCGUGGGUGAAGAAGGCCUUCGGGUUGUAAAGCCCUUUUGUUGGGAAAGAAAAGCAGCAGGUUAAUACCCCGCUGUUCUGACGGUACCCAAAGAAUAAGCACCGGCUAACUUCGUG